rnacentral:rRNA from 1 species
UAGGGAAUCUUCGGCAAUGGACGGAAGUCUGACCGAGCAACGCCGCGUGAGUGAAGAAGGUUUUCGGAUCGUAAAACUCUGUUGUUAGAGAAGAACAAGGAUGAGAGUAGAAUGUUCAUCCCUUGACGGUAUCUAACCAGAAAGCCACGGCUAACUACGUGCCAGCAGCCGCGGUAAUACGUAGGUGGCAAGCGUUGUCCGGAUUUAUUGGGCGUAAAGCGAGCGCAGGCGGUUUCUUAAGUCUGAUGUGAAAGCCCCCGGCUCAACCGGGGAAGGUCAUUGGAAACUAGGAAACUUGAGUGCAGAAGAGGGGAGUGGAAUUCCCUGUGUAGCGGUGAAAUGCGUAGAUAUAUGGAGGAACACCAGUGGCGAAGGCGGCUCUCUGGUCUGUAACUGACGCUGAGGCUCGAAAGCGUGGGGAGCAAACAGG